GUGACCUCCUGGUUCACAGGUCAACGCUCAACCACUGAGCCAUGUUGCCUGGGCCUGGGUGGUUUUUUUUUAAGUUUUGUCCUUUCUAUUCUGAUAUUUCAUGGUGAAAAUUUGAUAUUGGGAUAGGCAUUCCCUGAAUCUUUAUAGAACCAGUCCUCCAAAUAAUCUUACCUUUCUUCUACAAAAGAAGGCAAAAACCAUGAUUGCGAAUAGUCCAGCUAUGCAUGAAGUGACCAGGAAUGGAGAAUGUAGUACGUAAAUUCCAAUUUCAUAGGAGCUCUUUAUAAUACUACUUUUCUAGCUGAAGUUGUCCAGCUGGUCUUUGAAUGUUAAUGUCUGACUAAUUAGGUCACUGCCUAAAUUAGUUUCCUCUUUCCCCACCCACAAUACUUUCUCUUGCAUAUGCGGUCAUGAUACUAUAUAAAGGAAAAAUAUUGGAGAUAUUCUAUAUUUUAUAUGUAGGUUUAUGUAUUGUUGGGGAUGUUUUUAUUGUGCUGUUUUAGACAAAAUAAAAAUUAUAUUAAGACUACGUUCUUAACCCAGCUAAGAUUGUUUACAAAAACUCCAUAUGGCAGUGAUAUGUUAUCCUUGUCCCAAAAUAUUUUUAGACGUUGCCAAGUUUAUUAAAAUCAGUUAGUGUAGUUUUUACACAAUGUAAGCAAUAAUGUAAAAGAUGAGGAUAGUCUAUAGAAUGAUGGUCUAUGACUCAGAAAUCUGGGGGGAAACAGUUAAAACUAAAGAAAAACUAAAAAUCUUAAAUUAAUGAAUAUCACCUUUUUGCUGCUAACUAAUGAAACUUUCUGAUUUAUAGCUGAAUUUAUAUGAUACUCUAGGCUGGAACAUACUUUUCAUCUAGGACCAGUUAAAGCAUCACUUACCUUGAUCUGGAAUAUUCAUGAGUUUAUGAACAAUGAACUUUGAGUAACUAUGUAUAUACCCAAAGUUUAAUAAUUAUGAAAGCACCUGAUUAAAUCAGAAAAAAGGAGGUUAAAAUACAGUUUCUUAUUCAGCAAACAAGAUUUGAAUUUUGUCCAGGUGCUAGACCUUAAUAAUAAAACAUAUUUUUUAAGUUUUAGUGAUUUGUUUCUUUUUUUUUUAAUUUGCUAAUUCUGUAAUUUAUUUUAUCCCCCCACAAAUGUAAUGGAAGGAAAAGUAAACUCAUUGAAGUUUUUUAAGGCUAAUUUUCUUUUAGUCUCUUUCCGUAUUCUGUCUUUAACUUGUUUCCAACUCCUAAUCUCAUUCAUGAAUCCAUUCUUACCCCUUGGCUCUCAGAUGUGUGCAUAUUACCUUCAGGAAAGUCAGCACAGACAGGUUAUGAUGGGCUCACACUUACGCUUCUUGACUAGCAGGGUUGAAUUGCUUCCUGCCGCAGACACGUAGUAACAGUCCUGCUGUGUCCCAGCUGGAAAGGUCAGCGAUUCUUACUUCCAGGGUCAUAUACUUGGGAAACUGUUAUGCCUGCCAGUAGGUAAAUGUCACAGUUAAUUUUUUAAUCUUACCUGAACGAGUCAAACAGUAGGUAAAAUUAUGACCAGAAGUUGGUGCCCUCAGCUCUAAGAGUUAUUUUUAAACGAAAGGAAAAGAAAUGGGGUUAAAUAAAUGUGUUAGAAUCUUGUUGGUAGAAGGUGUUUGGGCACACCUGCCUGAGAACUCUGCUCUCACAGAGCUGGCGCUGCGUGGGCAGCUCUGAGGUAGUCUGUGUUCUCAGAUGCGGAAUUACCACCGCCGGCUAUUCUUCCCCAGAUGGAAACUUUAGAUUUUCAUUGGCAAUUAACAAUUUCACAGAUUGCCAAUUUUUUGAAAAAUUCAGAGUAUAAUACUGUGAAAAUGCAUACUUAGUUACUUGUCUUCUUCCCAAAUCUUAGCAAUAUGGUUAACUAGAAUUUAACAUAAAACGAUAUAAACAAAGGCCUUCUCUCUUUCAGGAAGGCUCACGUUUUUCUUGACAACACAGUUUAAGGCUAUUUGGCUUAUAGAUCCCUUUCGAGGGAUAAUUGUACAUAGUGGUAAUUAGGUUUAUUUAAAAUUCAUGCAAGUGAGGGAUGUUUGGAUAUGUAAUUUUUACCAGAAUAUAUAUGGAAAACAUUGCAAACAGAUGAAAGCCAGUUACAUUAUCUCAGUCAUUAGAAACUGUCAGUAUAAUUAAACAUUAAAGAGUCCAGUUUCGAAUACUUAAGCACACCUGUCUUUUUUAAGGCCCAAGAGGGUAACUGAUAUUUAAAGGGCUUAAAUUUUAGGAUAUGGAAUAAGUUGCCUUUUUAAAACCAAGUAUUUUAUACAAGAAACACAUGUGUUUUCCAUGUUUAAGCUACCACAUACAUGUGAUCUAGUUUAGAAAUGAGCAAAGAUGUUUGCAGUGGUGCACUGGGCGUUAAGUUUCUGCAGUCGCUCUCCAUUUCUAACAGCGGACACAUCGGGCAUGUCAGUGAUUAUACUAAUUCAGAAACAGGUGAAUAUUGGGUUUUAUUUAAUAUUUUUGGAAUUUUAAGUUUUCUGUAAAGGGAAGCAGAAGGAGUUUGUCACCCGCAAAUACAUUUAAAUUGAUUGUUCUUAAUUUGAAUUUCAAGUCAUCUUAAUUUUUAUUUCAAGUACUUAGUUAUACAUUUAGUUACAUUGUCCGUUUUUAAAGUUCUUGAUUUCAGUGAGACAAAGUGUACUAAGAUGUUUAAAUAGCCUCAUGCAGUCUCAUAUUUCAGCAAGCACUCUGGCUUACAGUAAUUUGGUUCCUUGUUAUGAUAUAAUGCCCUUUGGCUUUCAAAACAAAAAAGCUUCCAUUUCGCUAAAGUAUUUUACCAAAGUGGUGGACUAGCCAGCACAUGUGAUGUAUUUAUUAUUGCUAACACUGUUACCUGCAAACUACUGAGUCAGUCUCUCCUGAUGUGGACACCGUUCCCCGGGAGCCUUUGAAAGCUGUAUUGCUCUUUCAGUAUUUUAUUUCUUAUUUUUAUUCUUGUACUUACCUUAAUCUAAAUAGAGGCCAGUUGUCUGGUUUAGUGGCUUUUAUUUUGAAGACUCUCAGAUCGUGUGUUCAUCUCUUAAGUUUUGUAGUCCCUGGGGAAAAAACAACAACAUUACUGUGUGGUGAUGUAUACUGAAUAGUACAUGGAGAGAAUUAGUACUUGAUGAAUGAACAAUCCUAAAAUUGUAGUAUUUAACUGAAAAGUUUGAGAUUUGAGGAAUUGAAGAGAAUGAGAAACUUUCAUGCAGCACUUAAGUAUUUCCACUCACCUGGGAAAGGUGAAGUUAUAACUGAAAUAUACGUCCAAGUGAGGGAUCGUAGUUUUCUAGGUGGUAAUAUUAAUUGGGGGGAGGCCUCAAAGUUCGCUUUGAAAGGACCCAAAGUUGCUAAAAGGUAAUGUGGUUUUUCCACUGUGAGUUAUUGACAUAAAUAUAUUACAAAUAAAGCAUCUUAUGUUUUGAAAGUUACUAAAAGAAUAUAUAGAAGCAUGAUUUUUUUUUUCUGAAGCAGAAACAAAAUUGGGGGAAUCUCCAUUAUAGUAAACACGUCUGUGAGGAAUAGUUACAGCUGAACAUAGUCCUACAGGCUUUACGUUAAAAUCAUCAAACUCAUAAGUAACUCCUUAUUUUGCUUGGACCCAUUUUUAUCUUUGGGUUGUCUUACCAUGUGGAUAGCCCUCAGCAAGACAAAUUUGCAAAGAGCAAUAAUGGUUCAGAUUAAACAAUGAAGUGAAAGUGAGCCAGCUUUCAGGUUCAACUAAGGAACGGACACUCUGGAUAUUUCAUUUUUAGAAUUAUAAGAAUCUUGAGAUUUAUUAAUAGAAAGUUAAAUCUGUCAGCUUAUGGGAGAAGACUUGGUGACAUCAUAGGUGUACUUUUUUUUUACUUCAUAGUAAACUAUACAGUUAGAUGGUUUCACUAUAUCAUAGUGGUUAUAUUUUUAUGAUAAAAAAAAA